AGAGUUUGAUUAUGGCUCAGGAUGAACGCUAGCGGCAGGCUUAAUACAUGCAAGACGAACGGUAACUGGUGUAGCAAUACACUAGCUAGAGUGUCGUACGGGUGCGUAACACGUAUGCAACCUACCUUGUACAGGAGUAUAGCUCGGGGAAACUCGAAUUAACCCUCCAUAACAUAACGGUGUGGCAUCACACUGCUAUUAAAACUGAGGUGGUACAAGAUGGGCAUGCGACUGAUUAGUUAGUUGGCAGUGUAACGGACUACCAAGACGAUGAUCAGUAGGGGACCUGAGAGGGUGAUCCCCCACACUGGCACUGAGAUACGGGCCAGACUCCUACGGGAGGCAGCAGUAGGGAAUAUUGGACAAUGGGUGCGAGCCUGAUCCAGCCAUGCCGCGUGCAGGAAGAAGGCGUUAUGCGUUGUAAACUGCUUUUGCCAGGGGAUAAAAAGACCGUGCGCGGUUAAUUGAAGGUACCUGGUGAAUAAGCCACGGCUAACUACGUGCCAGCAGCCGCGGUAAUGCGUAGGUGGCAAGCGUUGUCCGGAUUUAUUGGGUUUAAAGGGUGCGUAGGUGGCUAACUAAGUCAGUGGUGAAAUAUCUCAGCUUAACUGAGAGGGUGCCAUUGAUACUGGCUAGCUUGAGUACAGAUGAGGUAGGCGGAAUUGACGGUGUAGCGGUGAAAUGCAUAGAUAUCGUCAAGAACACCGAUAGCGAAGGCAGCUUACCAAGCUGUAACUGACACUGAGGCACGAAAGUGUGGGGAUCAAACAGGAUUAGAUACCCUGGUAGUCCACACUGUAAACGUUGAUGACUCGAUGUUGGCGAUACACAGCCAGCGUCCAAGAGCAAUCGUUAAGUCAUCCACCUGGGGAGUACGCCGGCAACGGUGAAACUCAAAUGAAUUGACGGGG
rnacentral:rRNA from 1 species